CUUUGGGGAAAGUCUCCGGACACUAGGGCAGAGAGUGCCAGCCCUAAGGGCCAGACCCUGCACGUGCCGAACCGCUGGCAAAGACGCCCUCUGGGCGGAGCUGAUGAAGGGGAGGGGCGUGCUGGUAUCAGUCACAGCACAGUUAUGCGGAUGUCGCCUUGGAUUCCCAAGGCGGUAACUCAACGGAGCUUACGUUGGAGC
rnacentral:RNase_MRP_RNA from 11 species